CCUACGGGGGGCAGCAGUAGGGAAUAUUGCGCAAUGGGCGAAAGCCUGACGCAGCGACGCCGCGUGUGGGAGGAAGCCUUUCGGGGUGUAAACCACUGUCAGAGGGGAAGAACUCCAUCGUUCCAAAUAGGGCGGUGACUGACGGUACCCUCAGAGGAAGCGCCGGCUAACUCCGUGCCAGCAGCCGCGGU
rnacentral:rRNA from 1 species